AAAUGAAUAGACGGGGGCCCGCACAAGCGGUGGAGCAUGUGGUUUAAUUCGACGCAACGCGAAGAACCUUACCAGCUUUUGACAUGGGUACUAUGGUUAAUGGAGACAUUAGCCUUCACUUCGGGUGGGUACCACACAGGUGCUGCAUGGCUGUCGUCAGCUCGUGUCGUGAGAUGUUGGGUUAAGUCCCGCAACGAGCGCAACCCUUACCCUUAAUUGCCAUCAUUGAGUUGGGCACUUUAUGGGAACUGCCGGUGACAAGCCGGAGGAAGGUAGGGAUGACGUCAAGUCCUCAUGGCCCUUACGGGCUGGGCUACACACGUGCUACAAUGGCGCUGACAGAGGGAAGCAAGCCUGCGAAGGUAAGCGGAUCCCGAAAAGGCGUCUCAGUUCGGAUUGUUCUCUGCAACUCGAGAGCAUGAAGUUGGAAUCGCUAGUAAUCGCGAAUCAGCAGGUCGCGGUGAAUACGUUCCCGGGCCUUGUACACACCGCCCGU
rnacentral:rRNA from 1 species